rnacentral:rRNA from 1 species
GUGCCAGCCGCCGCGGUAAUACGGAGGGUGCAAGCGUUAAUCGGAAUUACUGGGCGUAAAGCGCACGCAGGCGGUCUGUUAAGUCAGAUGUGAAAUCCCCGGGCUCAACCUGGGAACUGCAUCUGAUACUGGCAGGCUUGAGUCUCGUAGAGGGGGGUAGAAUUCCAGGUGUAGCGGUGAAAUGCGUAGAGAUCUGGAGGAAUACCGGUGGCGAAGGCGGCCCCCUGGACGAAGACUGACGCUCAGGUGCGAAAGCGUGGGGAGCAAACAGGAUUAGAUACCCUGGUAGUCCACGCCGUAAACGAUGUCGACUUGGAGGUUGUGCCCUUGAGGCGUGGCUUCCGGAGCUAACGCGUUAAGUCGACCGCCUGGGGAGUACGGCCGCAAGGUUAAAACUCAAAUGAAUUGACGGGGCCCGCACAAGCGGUGGAGCAUGUGGUUUAAUUCGAUGCAACGCGAAGAACCUUACCUGGUCUUGACAUCCACAGAACUUGGCAGAGAUGCCCUUGGUGCCUUCGGGAACUGUGAGACAGG